rnacentral:rRNA from 1 species
CAGUAGCCGCGGGAAUACGUAGGGUGCAAGCGUUAAUCGGAAUCACUGGGCUUAAAGCGCGUGUAGGCGGAUGGGAGCGUCGGCCUCUGAAAUCCCCCGGCUCAACCGGGGAAGUGGAGCCGAAACGACCCGUCUGGAGGGACGUAGGGGGACCUGGAACUUCCGGUGGAGCGGUGAAAUGCGUUGAGAUCGGAAGGAACGCCCGUGGCGAAAGCGAGGUCCUGGACGUCUGCUGACGCUGAGACGCGAAAGCCAGGGGAGCGAACGGGAUUAGAUACCCCCGUAGUCCCUGUCUCUUAUU